rnacentral:rRNA from 1 species
UACAGAGGGUGCGAGCGUUAUUCGGAAUUACUGGGCGUAAAGCGCGCGUAGGCGGCUUUGCAAGUCGGGUGUGAAAUCCCCAGGCUUAACCUGGGAACUGCAUUCGAGACUGCAUUGCUAGAGUAUGGGAGAGGGAAGUGGAAUUUCCGGUGUAGCGGUGAAAUGCGUAGAUAUCAAGCAGAACACCUGCGGCGAAGGCGGCCUUCUGGACGAUGACUGACGCUGAGACACGAAAGCGUGGGGAGCAAACAGG